rnacentral:rRNA from 1 species
GAUGAACGCUGGCGGCGUGCCUAAUACAUGCAAGUCGAACGAGGUGCUUGAGUAGCAAUACGAGAGUAUCCUAGUGGCGAACGGGUGAGUAACGCGUUGGUGACCUACCCCAAAGUGUGGGAUAACAGUCCGAAAGGAUUGCUAAUACCGCAUGUGGUCUUCGGGUUUAGAAACCGAUGACGAAAGCAGCAAUGCGCUUUGGGAGGGACCUGCGUCCCAUCAGCAGUUGGUGAGGUAACGGCUCACCAAGGCGACGACGGGUAGGGGACCUGAGAGGGUGACCCC